UCCCUCAUACCUCAGUCAGUAAAGAAUCUGCCUGCAGCGCAGGAGACCCAGGUUCAAUUCCUGGGUUGGGAA
rnacentral:tRNA from 1 species